CACCGGCAGCUCUAGUGGUAGCAGUUUUUAUUGGGCCCAAAGCGUCCGUAGCCGGUUUAAUAAGUCUCUGGUGAAAUCCUGUAGCUUAACUGUGGGAAUAGCUGGAGAUACUAUUAGACUUGAGACCGGGAGAGGUUAGAGGUACUCCCAGGGUAGAGGUGAAACUCUGUAAUCCUGGGAGGACCGCCUGUUGCGAAGGCGUCUAACUGGAACGGUUCUGACGGUGAGGGACGAAAGUUAGGGGCGCGAACCGGAUUAGAUACCCGGGUAGUCCUAACCGUAAACGAUGCGGACUUGGUGUUGGGGUGGCUUUGAGCUGCUCCAGUGCCGAAGGGAAGCUGUUAAGUCCGCCGCCCGGGAAGUACGGUCGCAAGACUGAAACUUAA
rnacentral:rRNA from 1 species